UACGAAGGGGGCUAGCGUUGCUCGGAAUCACUGGGCGUAAAGGGUGCGUAGGCGGGGCUUUAAGUCAGGGGUGAAAUCCUGGAGCUCAACUCCAGAACUGCCUUUGAUACUGAGGAUCUUGAGUUCGGGAGAGGUGAGUGGAACUGCGAGUGUAGAGGUGAAAUUCGUAGAUAUUCGCAAGAACACCAGUGGCGAAGGCGGCUCACUGGCCCGAUACUGACGCUGAGGCACGAAAGCGUGGAGAGCAAACAGG
rnacentral:rRNA from 1 species